CGGCACGGGUGAGUAACACGUAUCCAACCUGCCGUCUACUCUUGGCCAGCCUUCUGAAAGGAAGAUUAAUCCAGGAUGGCAUCAUGAGUUCACAUGUCCGCAUGAUUAAAGGUAUUUUCCGGUAGACGAUGGGGAUGCGUUCCAUUAGAUAGUAGGCGGGGUAACGGCCCACCUAGUCAACGAUGGAUAGGGGUUCUGAGAGGAAGGCCCCCCACAUUGGGACUGAGACACGGUCCAA
rnacentral:rRNA from 1 species